rnacentral:rRNA from 1 species
AACGAACGCUGGCGGCAUGCCUAACACAUGCAAGUCGAACGAAGGCUUCGGCCUUAGUGGCGCACGGGUGCGUAACGCGUGGGAAUCUGCCCUUAGGUACGGAAUAACUCAGGGAAACUUGAGCUAAUACCGUAUAAUGACUUCGGUCCAAAGAUUUAUCGCCUAAGGAUGAGCCCGCGGCGGAUUAGCUAGUUGGUGAGGUAAAAGCUCACCAAGGCGACGAUCCGUAGCUGGUCUGAGAGGACGAUCAGCCACGCUGGGACUGAGACACGGCCCAGACUCCUACGGGAGGCAGCAGUGGGGAAUAUUGGACAAUGGGCGCAAGCCUGAUCCAGCAAUGCCGCGUGAGUGAUGAAGGCCUUAGGGUUGUAAAGCUCUUUUACCUGGGAAGAUAAUGACUGUACCGGGAGAAUAAGCCCCGGCUAACUCCGUGCCAGCCGCCGCCGUAAGAC